GCCUAGGUGGUCUGGUGGUUAAGAUUGGGCACUGUCACUGCCACGGCCUGGGUUCAUUUCCCGGUCAGGGAA
rnacentral:tRNA from 1 species